UGGGGAAUAUUGCACAAUGGGCGCAAGCCUGAUGCAGCGACGCCGCGUGAGGGAUGGAGGCCUUCGGGUUGUAAACCUCUUUCGCCAGUGAAGCAGGCCAUCUUCUUUGUGGGGUGGUUGACGGUAGCUGGAUAAGAAGCGCCGGCUAACUACGUGCCAGCAGCCGCGGUAAUACGUAGGGCGCGAGCGUUGUCCGGAAUUAUUGGGCGUAAAGAGCUCGUAGGCGGCUGGUCGCGUCUGUCGUGAAAUCCCCUGGCUUAACUGGGGGCUUGCGGUGGGUACGGGCCGGCUUGAGUGCGGUAGGGGGGACUGGAAUUCCUGGUGUAGCGGUGGAAUGCGCAGAUAUCAGGAGGAACACCGGUGGCGAAGGCGGGUCUCUGGGCCGUUACUGACGCUGAGGAGCGAAAGCGUGGGGAGCGAGCAGG
rnacentral:rRNA from 1 species